UGGUAAAGCGAUGCUAUUCUCACACCAUGCCAAGCUGUAAAGUGUGAACAGGAAACUAAGCAAGGUUAGACUUGGUUAGUACCUGAAUGGAAGACCACUUGGGACUCCCAGAUGCUGUAGAGA
rnacentral:rRNA from 1 species